rnacentral:rRNA from 1 species
GGGGAAUUUUCCGCAAUGGGCGAGAGCCUGACGGAGCAACGCCGCGUGAGGGAGGAAGGCCUGUGGGUUGUAAACCUCUUUUCUCAGGGAAGAAGAACUGACGGUACCUGAGGAAUCAGCAUCGGCUAACUCCGUGCCAGCAGCCGCGGUAAGACGGAGGAUGCAAGCGUUAUCCGGAAUUAUUGGGCGUAAAGCGUCCGUAGGCGGCUUAUUAAGUCUGCUGUUAAAGGCUACAGCUCAACUUCUGGAGAGCAGUGGAAACUGUUUGACUAGAGAAUGGUAGGGGUAGAGGGAAUUCCCAGUGUAGCGGUGAAAUGCGUAGAGAUUGGGAAGAACAUCGGUGGCGAAAGCGCUCUACUGGGCCAUUACUGACACUCAGAGACGAAAGCUAGGG